UUCAAUAUCAGGUGCAGGCAACUCAACAUCUCACAACAAAAUCAAGGGUCCAACAAAGACUGAACUGAAAACCAGGACUUAAAAUAAAAACUGAUCUGACGGGAGGAUGAAAUGCAGGUGGAGAGAUGGGUGGAGAAGCUCAGGUGAGGGGAAUGUGGUGAUUAGGCAGGAGAACCGGCGGGGAGCUGAUUGGCUGGGGAAAAACACUGGGAACAGGAAAGGAGCUGAUUGGCUGGGAAGAACUAAUGAGGCUGAUUCAGAGCAGGUGUGUAGAUGAGCAAAGGAGGGAAAGCCAGUACACAAAUACACAGGAGGAAAAACACAGCACAGAAAACCCAAAACACAGAAACCAACUCCAUCCAGUCUUCAGAAAGUCUGAGGGCAUCUGGACACAGUGCAAGAUUAUGACAAAACGACAUGUUAUGAGUCAGGACCCUUGACCCCUGGGCCUGUAAAUGGUUGCCCCGUUCAGUAAUCCAUCCAUGUCUACAGGCUCAUCUCCUGAGUUGGCUUCCUGGGUCUUGGUCUCUGGUUCUGCUUCAGGCUCUGGCUCUGGAUCUGGCUCCGGCUCAACUGGUUCAGGACUUGGAGGUGGAGAGGGCGAGGUCCGCUG